rnacentral:snRNA from 1 species
CCGUAAGUAACCGCGUCAGG